GCUCCCCGAGACUGUGUCGUAC
rnacentral:miRNA from 1 species